rnacentral:rRNA from 1 species
GACGAACGCUGGCGGCGUGCUUAACACAUGCAAGUCGAACGGAAAGGCCCUGCUUUUGUGGGGUGCUCGCGUGGCGAACGGGUGAGUAACACGAGAGUAACCUGCCCUUGACUUUGGGAUAACUUCAGGAAACUGGGGCUAAUACCGGAUAGGAUCUCCUGCUGCAUGGUGGGGGUUGGUAAGUUUCGGCGGUUGGGGCUGGACUCGCGGCUUAUCAGCUUGUUGGUUGGGUAUCGGCUUACCCAGGCAUUGACGGGUAGCCGGCCUGAGAGGGUGGCCGGCCAAAUUAGGACUGAGAUACGACACAGCCUCCUGCAGGAGGCAGGGGUGGGGAAUAUUGCACAAUAGGCGGGAGCCUGAUGCAACAACGCCACGUGCGGGAAGACGGGCUUGGGGUUGGAAACCGAUUUCGCCUGUGACGAAGCGUGAGUGACGGUAAUGGGUAAAGAAGCACCGGCUAACUACGUG